GAUGAACGCUAGCGGCAGGCCUAACACAUGCAAGUCGAGGGAGGAGCCUUCGGGCUUCGACCGGCGUACGGGUGCGUAACGCGUAUACAAUCUGCCUUUCACAUAGGGAUAGCCCGAAGAAAUUUGGAUUAAUACCUAAUGGUAUAUAGAUGUGGCAUCACCUUUAUAUUAAAGCUGAGGCGGUGAAAGAUGGGUAUGCGUUCUAUUAGCUAGUUGGAGAGGUAACGGCUCCCCAAGGCGACGAUAGAUAGGGGUUCUGAGAGGGAUAUCCCCCACACUGGUACUGAGAUACGGACCAGACUCCUACGGGAGGCAGCAGUGAGGAAUAUUGGACAAUGGUCGGAAGACUGAUCCAGCCAUGCCGCGUGCAGGAAGACGGCCCUAUGGGUUGUAAACUGCUUUUGCAGGGGAAGAAUAAGGACUACGCGUAGUUUGAUGACGGUACUCUGCGAAUAAGCAUCGGCUAACUCCGUG
rnacentral:rRNA from 1 species